GCCGUACCCACAGCAUAUGGAGGUUCCCAGGCUAGGGGUCAAAUCGGAGCUACAGCUGCCGGCCUACGCCACAGCCACAGCAAUGCCAGAUCCGAGCCUUGUCUGCUCCUUACACCACAGCUCAUGGCAACAGAGGCCAGGGAUUGAACGCACAUCCUAAUGGAUCCUAGUUGGAUUCAUUUCUGCUGUGCCACGAUGGGAACUCCCCUUCCUUUUUCCAACGGUUGAGUGUCUCCUGGGAUAUGCAUGCUCUGUUCCAUUUCUUUCUUUUUUUAAACAGACCCAGAGUCCCAGAAGAAGUUAGAUGUUGUGCUUACAAACUGCAUACACAUGGGCAUCAUGGAAGUGCAAAACUCCAAUAAAGAAAUAAGCACAUGGUUUCUUAGUUCAUUUUUUAUGUUAAUGAUGAAAGUGCAGGUAAGAAAAUAAGAACUAGCCUUAAGGACAUAUAAGUGAUGGAAAGAGAAGGAAAAUUCUAGGUGGAGCCCAGAGAAGUUAUCAUUCUCUUCCUAUCAACAUUGGGUGGAUGUGCAGGCCCCUUGCUUUAUAGCAGCAGAACAAAAUAAAAUGACUGAUGAUCAAAGAAACUCACAGAUGCCUACAGAAUUAAAUUAUCAACCCACUUUGACAUUUUGCAAGUAUAAAUAGAAACAGAAAUAACUAGAGGUGUAGAAAUAGUUGAAGAAGCCCCUCAACAUUAAAUUCUAAACUUCAAAUUUGAAACACCUAGAGAUUGGGGUUUCUCUGUAAUCUAUAAAUCAGCCUUGAUUCAAAGAAAUAGCCAGGCUGGCAUGGGGGAGCAACUUUAGAUCUGGCCAGCACAGGACCUGGGGAGGCUCAGUAGAGACCCACUAUCUGUUAAUAAGGAAGAAGACCCAAAACAGAGCCAGGACAAAUAAUUCUGUCAUUUUAAUGUCAAAAGUGUCCAACCAUUCUUUAUUGUGAAAAGGAUACAUAAUUAAGCUGUAUCUUUAUAUUAUUAUUUUUUUUUUACUAUUUGGCAUAUUAUUCAUUCCCAGUGAUGUUUCAUUUCUCCUCAAAUGAUUCUUUUGCAACCUUUAGAAAGCCCUGCAAUUUCCUUUUCAUUUGGCCGAACGUGGCAGACACAGGAGGGAGAGCUUCUAAAUCCUGUUGCUCAGAAUAUGGCUUUUUUUUUUUUUUUUUUUUUUGUCUUUUCAGGGUCGCACCCACUGCAAAUGGAGGUUCCCAGGCUAGGGGUCUAAUCGAAGCUACAGCUGCCAGCCUACACCAGAGCCACAGCAACGCCAGAUCUGAGCCACGUCUGUGACCUAUAGCACAGCUCAUGGCAAUGCCUGAUCCUUAACCCACUGAGUAAGGCCAGGAAUCGAACUCAAAACCUCGUGGUUCCUCGUGGUUUCUGCUGCGCCACAACGGGAACUCCCAGAAUAUGUUUAAAAAAAAAAAAAAAAGCAGGACCCCAGACAGGUGUGUAACUGUUUGAAUGGGCUAUCUCUUAUACAACUAGGAAUAAGACCUACUUGGAAGAAGUUUUGCUCUAGAAACUGUUGAUGCUCUUGACUUAUUGAGGGGAGUUCCAUAAAAUGGCCAUUACCAACUGUAUAAGACAAAACUCGUGUUAGCUCAAAGGUUAGUCCCUGUUUUAAAAUCCCAAAAAAGAUAAACCCUAUUAUGGGCCAUUUCCACUUUCCCCACUGCUUCCCUGACAAGAGGUAAUGUGGGUCUGAGGAGGAAACUGAAGAUUCAUGGCCCAAAUAGAGCAGAAGUCUUGUCUUGUGUAACUGCCCAAAUGCUAAUACAAACUCAUUGUUGCUCAAUUUGUUCUUUAAAAGCUGUGCUUUAUUCUAUUAACUUUGAUUUGCCCUCUUAGCUUCUGUCAUUUUUCCAUACUGGACUGUCCUGGCAAUCCUCCUCACCUUUCUGUCUGGGUUUCAGUCUCUGACAGGGGCUCUGUGCCUAGGUCUCCCUGCCAGGAUCCAUCUGGCCCAUCGGUAACUAACAGUCAUCUUAGCCUUGUCCAGUGGUGAUAGCUUCACCCGUAGAUUUAACUGAGACAAAACUGAACAACUUACCAUAAAUAUCGGAGUCAAGAAAAAAUUAUUAGGAGACUAGGCGUACAUAAGUUUAGAUAAAAACAGAGAAGGCAGGACGACAGUGUGGUCCAAGUAAUUUUCUCUGUGCAAAGAUGCCUUCUAUUUAGUAUAACUAAACACAUUACUUCUGGGGAAAAAAAAAAACAACAACAAAAAUUCACACUCCAAAAAAGGGAGAAAAACUAGUAUUGAGAGCAAUUAUGAGUAUGACUUAAAAUGUCACUUUUUAUCUGUUGUACAGGAGAGUAAAUAUCAUGAAAACUUAACCAUGAUAAGGAAAAAAAAAACACUUAACCAUGAUGAAAUAUUUGUCAAACAGUAUUUGUUCCUAUAUUAAGAAAUUAAUACCCACAUGCACAACUUUGAGUUGAUAGAAACUAAAAACUUAAGGUAAUAGAAUUAAGGAUUUCAUUUUCCUUUUUAGAGUUUUAUAUAUUUUUCAAAUUUUUUGGAAAGGCGUUUUGGAAAUAGAAAAAAAAAAAAGGUCUAAAGCUAAAAACUCUUUAACGUAAUUUUUCUUACUGAAUAGUUAUUAUCCUGUUCAUGAGACAUGACCAUAAUAACUCAAAGCCACUAUUUUUUUUUUUUUUUAAUUUGGUUGAACCUGCAGCAUGCAGAAAUUCCCAGGCCAGGGACUGAACCCAUGCCACUGUAGCAACCACAACCACUGCAGUGACAACAUUGGAUGCUUAAACCACUGAGCCAUAUGGGAACUCCUCAAAGUUACUAUUGACUUCAUCAGGAUGAGGCUAGCUAUGUGCUUAAGUAAUAAUUGAAGUAAGGAUGAGAAAUAAAUUUUACGGAAAGUAAGAAUAAUACUAUGCCUUAUCUAUAAGAUCCCAAACCAGAAUAUAUUUGAAAAUAUUUGAGUGACUGACUUUUUUUUUUUUACUUUUCGUCUUCAUUAGUGAUACUAUGCAGCUAUCUAUAGUUUGGUAUCUCUAACCACCAGAUAACAGUUGUGAUGACCAAAAAUGCCUCUAGACACUGCCAAAUGUCCUCUGGGGUAGGAGAGAAAUCACCCCUGGUUG
rnacentral:lncRNA from 1 species